ensembl:snRNA
UGGGGAUAUGAAACAAGAGCAGAACAGCACUUCUCUUGAUAAGGAUGGAAGAAAUCUUAAUGGACUUAAUCAUAUUAAGAUUGUCACUUACUUUGAGAUUUCUAAUGUAUAUA